CAAUAGCGUAUAUUAACGUUGUUGCAGUUAAAAAGCUCGUAGUUGGAUUUCUGGAGGGAGCGUCGGCCCGUAUUUACGAGUGCGUGACGUCUCUGUCCAUCCUUGCGGGAAGGCACGGCAUUGAUUUGUUGUGUCGGAUCGCAUCAUUUACUGUGAAAAAAUUAGAGUGUUCAAAGCAGGCUUUCGCUUGAAUACAUUAGCAUGGAAUAAUAAGAUAGGACUUUGGUGCUAUUUUGUUGGUUGAGCCUAGAGUAAUGAUUAAUAGGGAUAGUUGGGGGCACCUGUAUUGCGUUGUCAGAGGUGAAAUUCUUGGAUUUACGCAAGACAAACAGCUGCGAAAGCGUCUGCCAAGGAUGUUUUCAUUAA
rnacentral:rRNA from 1 species